AUGCACGCUGGCGGCGUGCCUAAUACAUGCCCGUCGAGCGAACAGACGAGGAGCUUGCUCCUCUGACGUUAGCGGCGGACGGGUGAGUAACACGUGGAUAACCUACCUAUAAGACUGGGAUAACUUCGGGAAACCGGAGCUAAUACCGGAUAAUAUAUUGAACCGCAUGGUUCAAUAGUGAAAGACGGUUUUGCUGUCACUUAUAGAUGGAUCCGCGCCGCAUUAGCUAGUUGGUAAGGUAACGGCUUACCAAGGCAACGAUGCGUAGCCGACCUGAGAGGGUGAUCGGCCACACUGGAACUGAGACACGGUCCAGACUCCUACGGGAGGCAGCAGUAGGGAAUCUUCCGCAAUGGGCGAAAGCCUGACGGAGCAACGCCGCGUGAAUGAUGAAGGUCUUCGGAUCGUAAAACUCUGUUAUUAGGGAAGAACAAAUGUGUAAGUAACUAUGCACGUCUUGACGGUACCUAAUCAGAAAGCCACGGCUAACUACGUG
rnacentral:rRNA from 1 species